AUUGAACGCUGGCGGCAGGCCUAACACAUGCAAGUCGAGCGGGGUUUUCGGACCUAGCGGCGGACGGGUGAGUAACGCGUAGGAAGCUGCCCGAUAGAGGGGGAUACCAGUUGGAAACGACUGUUAAUACCGCAUAAUGUCUACGGACCAAAGUGUGGGACCUUCGGGCCACAUGCUAUCGGAUGCGCCUACGUGGGAUUAGCUAGUUGGUGAGGUAAUGGCUCACCAAGGCGACGAUCUCUAGCUGGUUUGAGAGGAUGCUCAGGCACACUGGAACUGGGACACGGUCCAGACUCCUACGGGAGGCAGCAGUGGGGAAUAUUGGACAAUGGGCGCAAGCCUGAUCCAGGCAUGCCGCGUGUGGGAAGAAGGCCUUCGGGUUGUAAAGCACUUUCAGCGAGGAGGAAGGGGUUGUAGUUAAUAGCUGCAACCUUUGACGUUACUCGCAGAAGAAGCACCGGCUAACUCUGUGCCAGCCGCCGCCGUAAUAC
rnacentral:rRNA from 1 species